rnacentral:rRNA from 1 species
GAGACUCUGUGCGCGUGCAUAUCAAUAAGCGGAGGAAAAGAAACUAACAAGGAUUCCCUUAGUAACGGCGAGUGAAGCGGGAAGAGCUCAAAUUUGAAAUCUUCAAGGUUCCACCUUGACGAAUUGUAGUUUAUAGAAGUGUUUUCUGUUAGUGGAGUGGCAAAAGUUCUUUGGAAUAGGACAUCAUAGAGGGUGAGAAUCCCGUAUUUGGUCAUUCCUCCUAGCGUUGUGAUACACUUUCAAAGAGUCGGAUUGUUUGGGAAUGCAGUCCAAGAUGGGUGGUAAAUUUCAUCUAAAGCUAAAUAUUGGCGAGAGACCGAUAGCGAACAAGUACCGUGAGGGAAAGAUGAAAAGAACUUUGAAAAGAGAGUUAAACAGUACGUGAAAUUGUCAAAAGGGAAGCGUUUGACACCAGUGUUGUUUUUCCGAAAAUCAAUUACGAAUGUUUUGUUUUUAAAGAGUUAUGACUUCAUCGGCUUGCUUCUUUCUUUACGAAACUUUCUUAAUGCACUUUUCGGUUAACAAGUCAACAUCAAUUUCUUUUGUUGUAAAAGGGUAUGAGGAAGGUGGCUUUCUUUUCGGAGAAAGUGUUUAUAGCCUUGUACCUCUAGCAAUCGGAGAGAUUGAGGUCUGCAGCGUAGAUCCUUCGGGGUUAGAUACAUUUGUGCUAAGUUAUAGCUUUUCAUAGACAACUUGUUGACUAUGUUUAGUCUUGUAGCUUACUCGCUUACGCUAUUUUACCUACGCUUAGGAUGUUGAAGAUGUAGCACAUCAU